rnacentral:misc_RNA from 1 species
AGAGAGAGAGAGAGAGAGAGUAUCUAAAUUAAAGUCUAGAAAAUGGAAGUUUGGUCAAAGUGGAUUAAAUUUCUAUUUCACAUAUUCAAAAAUUCUUGUGAUUUGACUAAUUAUUUUCUCUCGUCUUUUCUUAUCACUAUUAAGUCUCAUUUUCAGUUUUUCCAUCUUGUUCCCAAACUCAUUUUGCCCUAUUCAUGUGUAUGUAACCAUAAUAACUGUUGCUAAAUGCAUUUAUUUACCCCAAUUUGAUGCAAUUACACAUUUAUUAUCCUUUGUUCUUUUAACAUCUUGUUUCUAGGCUACCCCUAAUUCUGUGUAAUCAAACGUAAGUAAUCAUAUAGCCUUGUUCAUACAUGGACAUUCUAUAGCCAUGUGGAAGCACUUCAAAAAAUAAUCUUUAGAAGCAAUACUUUUCAUUAAUUAAGCUUAAUUAUAUCUGGAAAAUCCCUUCCUAUGAUUGAACCAUGGCAAUGAACUAGCUUCUUCUAGAAUCUUAUGAUCUGUAACUUCUUUUCUUUUCUUUUUUUCACUUUACCAUCAAAUUUUGGAGUCCUUCAUAACUGACAGAAAAACUAUUUAAUGAUAAAAUUGUGAUGACCUCUUGUGUGCCACUAAUUUCUCAUUGUUUCUUUUGUUUGCUUUGACUUGUAAUUCAUUUACUUUUGAAAGCAAAUAUAUAUAUAUAUAUUUCUGAACAGUUCAUGGUAUGAUGAGUGAUAUGAUCUUGUCAUACACAUGUUCAGAAAAAGAUCUCUUGUAUAUAGUCUUUUUGAUAACAUUCCUUCCCACUCACAGAUUAUUGCAUUUUACUCGAGUCUUGAUAAAUCUUCUGAUCAAUUUUAAGCUAAUAUCUUGGAAUUUCUUAAAAAUUGGUCAAACUAUCUCUUUAAUGGUUUGGUAAUUAGGUAGUUCUGCAACAUAUUAGAAUCUGAAAUACCUUUGCCAUUAGUUGUUUGGGUAAUUUACUGAUCCAUCUCAUUUGUUGAUUUUAUUACUCGAUCUUUGAUAAUGGCAUGCUGCAUGCACAGCUAGGAUCUGGCCAUUAGCCUGGACCUUCCAUGAACCAGUUUGAUGGAAUUAAUGAGGGCUGAGACCUUCAAAUUUGCCACAUUUUGAGGCAUAUCACGGAUGAGUUAUUGUUUUAAUGAUAAUAUGUAUUUCUUUUAGGUAUUUGGCAUUGUAAUCUGUUUAUCUUAUUCCUGUGUAAUUCGUUUCUUAUCAUUGCAAUUGCAUGGAAAACAAUAAAUUUUGUAAAAGCAUCUUAUGGUCUAUUGAAAUUCAAUGCUGAUCUCUCAAACAUUGAAUGAACUUGAUAGAUCAUUGUGCUAUUGUAGAGUAACUGACGCUUUUACUUGGAGUAAUACUUGUAUUUUCAGGCAAGGACUCUUAUUUCAAAGC